rnacentral:lncRNA from 1 species
UUGAUGCAUGUAGGAGGUCGUUUGGACCUCCGCCGCCGUCAUAAGUGAUUUUCAGCACAACGAGGUUUGGUUCUCCGACGAGGUAUGUGUGAGACAAGAAAGUGAGAGUUUGAAAUGAAUUUGAAAUGAGAAAGGAGUUCAAGCAAAUCCCUUUAACCUUUCCCUCACAUGCAGGCUUGGGUAACUAGGCCCAUUUUCUUACUCCAUG